AGACUAUACUUUCAGGGAUCAUUUCCAUAGUUUACUAGAGAAGUUUAUCUGAACAUGUAGAGCACCAGCUCUCUGGGUCCCCUAGGAAGCCAUUUCUGCCUUGUCUCUCAGAGGUCCUUGGGGAGGGCUGCCAGAAGUACUGGGAAAAGGCCACAGGGAGAAGGAAACCUUCAGCUGAAUUUUGUAACAAUUCCAACCAAACAAGAAGUCUCCUGGCCAGAAUUCGGGGGAGGGCAUGAAGCCAGUGGGCAGACCCCACAGGUGGGGAAGCAUGAAAGCCCUACUUGUUUUUGUAGCUGGGAAUCUGGUAGCCUGGGGCAAGUUCUCAGCCCUGCUUGCCCCCUGCCUGGAAACAGACUCAAUGCUGCCGUGGGAGGAAGCAUGGUAGGAGUGAGAUUGGCCUUUCGGGUUGCAUGGGAGCUGAGUGAGGCCUGUGAUUGCCAGUUUUCCCCCACUUCCCUGACAACCUGCAUGACACAGCAGAGGCAGCCAUAAUCUUCCUAGGAACAUAACUCCAUUGACCUGGGAACCAUACCCCCAUCCUCCACAGCAACCACAGCAAGACCCACCCAAGGAGAUUCUGAGCUCAGACAUGACUAGCCCUGCUCCCACCUGAUGGCCCUUCCCUACCCACCCUGGUAGCUGAAGACCAAGGGCACAUGCUCUUGGGAGUUCUAUGGCUGCACCCACCACGUGAUCCCAUACUGUCACAGCUGAUGCUCUCUUGAAAGCACCACCUCCCAGCAGGCGGCCAACCAGCACAAAAAUAGUGUAUUAAACAAUCAAAAUUAAGGACUCUCACACAGUCCAUUUCACUCCUCUGCCACCUCCACCAGAGGAGGUGCUGGUACCCACGGCUGAGAGACCCACAGAUGAUUCACAUCACAGGGCUCUGUGGAGACAACCAGCAGUGCCAGCCUGGAGCCUGGUAGACCUGCUAGGUGGCUAGAUCAAGAAGAGAGGUAACAAUCACUAUAGCUCAGCUGUCAGGAAGCCACAUCCAUAGGAAAAGGGGGAGAAUACUACAUCAAGGGAACAUUCCAGGUGACAAAAGAAUCUGAACCACAGCCUUAAGCCCGAGACCUUCUUUCUGACAGAGACUACCCGAAUGAGAAGGAACCAGAAAACCAACUUUGGUAAUACGAGAAAACAAAGUUUUUUAACACCCCUCAAAAAUCACACUAGCUCACCAGCAAUGGAUCCAAACCAAGAAGAAAUCCC
rnacentral:lncRNA from 1 species